rnacentral:rRNA from 1 species
UACGUAGGGGGCAAGCGUUGUCCGGAUUUAUUGGGCGUAAAGAGCGUGUAGGCGGCUUGGUAGGUCCGCUGUGAAAACUCGAGGCUCAACCUCGAGAUGUCGGCGGAAAACCACUUGGCUAGAGUCCGGAAGAGGAGAGUGGAAUUCCCCGGUGUAGCGGUGAAAUGCGUAGAUAUUGGGAGGAACACCAGUGGCGAAGGCGGCUCACUGGACCGGAACUGACGCUGAGGCGCGAAAAGCGUGGGGGAGCAAACA